UCGGGAAUUUUGGGCAAUGGGCGAAAGCCUGAUCCAGCCAUGCCGCGUGUGUGAAGAAGGUCUUCGGAUUGUAAAGCAUUUUAAGUUGGGAGGAAGGGCAGUUACCUAAUACGUGAUUGUUUUGACGUUACCGACAGAAUAAGCACCGGCUAACUCUGUGCCAGCAGCCGCGGUAAUACAGAGGGUGCAAGCGUUAAUCGGAAUUACUGGGCGUAAAGCGCGCGUAGGUGGUUAGUUAAGUUGGAUGUGAAAUCCCCGGGCUCAACCUGGGAACUGCAUUCAAAACUGACUGACUAGAGUAUGGUAGAGGGUGGUGGAAUUUCCUGUGUAGCGGUGAAAUGCGUAGAUAUAGGAAGGAACACCAGUGGCGAAGGCGACCACCUGGACUGAUACUGACACUGAGGUGCGAAAGCGUGGGGAGCAAACAGGAUUAGAUACCCUAGUAGUCCCUGAGCGGGCUGGCAAGGCGCAU
rnacentral:rRNA from 1 species